rnacentral:rRNA from 1 species
UACGUAGGCAGCGAGCGUUGUUCGGAAUUACUGGGCGUAAAGAGUGUGUAGGCGGUGCUCUAAGUUUGGUGUGAAAUCUCCCGGCUCAACCGGGAGGGUGCAUCGAAAACUGGAGUGCUAGAGGAUGGGAGAGGCAAGCGGAAUUCCUGGUGUAGCGGUGAAAUGCGUAGAUAUCAGGAGGAACACCUGUGGUGUAGACAGCUUGCUGGACCAUUUCUGACACUGAGACACGAAAGCGUGGGUAGCAAACAGG